rnacentral:rRNA from 1 species
CGGCGAGUGGCGAACGGGUGAGUAAUAUAUCGGAACGUGCCCAUUAGUGGGGGAUAGCCCGGCGAAAGCCGGAUUAAUACCGCAUACGACCUGAGGGUGAAAGCGGGGGAUCGCAAGACCUCGCGCUAUUGGAGCGGCCGAUAUCGGAUUAGCUAGUUGGUGGGGUAAAGGCCUACCAAGGCAACGAUCUGUAGUUGGUCUGAGAGGACGACCAGCCACACUGGGACUGAGACACGGCCCAG